rnacentral:rRNA from 1 species
UACGUAGGGUCCAAGCGUUGUUCGGAAUUACUGGGCGUAAAGCGCGCGUAGGCGGGUUUGUAUGUCGAUUGUGAAAUCCCCGGGCUCAACCUGGGAACUGCAGUCGAAACUGCAAAUCUUGAAUGUCUGAGAGGAUGGCGGAAUUCCCGGUGUAGUAGUGAAAUACGUAGAUAUCGGGAAGAACACCAGUGGCGAAGGCGGCUCACUGGCCCGGUACUGACGCUGAGGUGCGAAAGCGUGGGGAGCGAACAGG